GUUUGGGAAUUUACGUAUAUAAACACUUUUGUUGACAUUUGAUCAGUUUGUUAUGAAAAGAAAUAACAAGAAAGAGAUCAGAUAGCAAAGGGUUCUUUAACCGUGUUUACGUACACGGCUUACAGUAGAUCAACGAAGCCGAUAAUCGUGUAUGCGUCAGUUAAUCGCAUUGUCACGUGUGUUUAUUUCCGUACGCUUACGUUACGAUAAAACAAUAGAUAUCAGAGUGCUUUUUAAAGAAAUACAAAUUCACAAAGCAGCCAGGAUGUAUGCGGAAAACACAAAAAAGAAAAGAGUAAACGUCAAAGUAUGGUAAAUUUUGCUCGAUUACCAGCAACAAGAAGGAAGAUCCACACGCUGAGAAUGACAUAGCAAUAAAACGCCCGAUGCUGGUAUGACAGUCGAACCAUUUCCGCCAACAUCCUGCGGACAGUCCUGGACCCAGCCAGGUCUUUCCUGAAUCUCACGACCUCGACGGCGACGAUAACACCAAGUCGGACAACCAGAAUAAAUCCGGUUCAACGACACUUCUCCAACCUGCAUCCUCUUUUUUCAGCAAUCCUGCUGCAUAAUUCUACCUCAAUAGCUUUGAGAGGAUUCAGAGGGACGAGAAUCCCGUGGAGUAUGUUGUUAAACGAGUUUCUCACGUCCCUUUUCGAUAUUGGCUUCAACCACGAUGCAUCGGUGGGUGAAAACCUUGGUCUACUUUUUAACAUUCUCCUUAGAUUAAUUUUAUUUUAUUGUUAAUCAUUUGUUUACUUUCGUGAUUUAUCGCCGUUGAUAAAGAUGUUGAUAAUCUUUACAUUAAUUAUCGCUCUUCGUUACGGUUGAUUGUAGAUGUGUAAUAUUGACGUUUCUCGUUGAAUUUGUUUACAAUUAUAAUACCUUUCUAUUAUUUUGUACCUUUAGUAGGUGGUUCCUGCCAGAUGUGGAAAGGAUUUCGAGAUCUUCCGUACCUGCGUUCUAUCGCGGCAGGUUAGUAUCGAGCGCAGACGCCCCUCUUUCUUUUUCCUUGCAAAUCUCUUCGCAGUUUAAUUUUAUAUACUUUCAGGAUCGUUGUCUACGUUCUUUGGACGAUUCGGUUGUAGAGAAAACUGACAGAAUCGAUGAAUGAUUCCUUUCUCAGAAGCUCCUUUAUUGCGAGAAUAAUUCAAGGAAAACUAUCCCUUUCUCAAAGGGGCAUUUACCCUUCUUCGAUUAUUAUUGCCAAACUUUCGUACAUAUUUACGAAUUUCUUUUUUUACAAUGGUGAUAAUGAAAUCGAGUUAUCAUGCGUCAAGCCUGGAUCGACGGGACUGCACCUCGAUGACAUUUCGCGAUGCGUUUACUUGCACUUUUCACACUUCAGUCGUUUUGCUUUAUGAAUCGAAACUUAAAGAGAUCAUCCACGACGAAAACCGAGCGAUGCUACAACCUUACUAAAACAUUUUUCUGCAACUACGACAGGUAAGCCGCGCUCCUUGCGACAGGAGUAGGUUAUUGAAACGCGCGUGCGCGCAAGGUGUGCAGCCAGAUUGGCCUGGCCUCCGUUUUAAAUCCAUUUCGAUCCGCGGUCGAGAGCUGCGAAGAGGUUUAUUCUAACGACGAAAGUGCGCGACGUUCAACGGUUCAUCGAAUUAUAUUCAGAAAAACUAUCCCAAGAGAAGGAAUGAACGAGAACUAUUUAAUGAAUUAUGAGAAACAAGACAAAUUUGAUGUACAGUACUUGGAAUAUCUUCUUGUUCCUACACAUUAACAUUUUUUGUUUUAAAUUAAAUCGUUCAAUAUAUUUGAUCAUGUUGAUUGUAUAGAAAAUUAAAGGAAGGAGAUAUUUAGAAAAAAAUCUGAAAAGUUACGGUUUAAUAGCAAUGGUCAAUAUUUAGAAAAGUAUUUUCGUUAAUUCCUCCUGAUAUCUUCUUAUACAAAAUGACGGCAAAGCAAUUAUUUUAAAAUAGAUUGCGAAUGUUCUGAUGAGCAUUCGCUAGACAUUUUUAUUGUCAGACGCAGAUUCACCUUUAAAGGAGUGAAAAUAGAAGAAGAAGAAUGUUUCAACGGACAGACUCGAGCGUUCGUCAGAUAAGGAAAUAAGGAAUAUCAGUCAGUUGAACAGCUUUAAUGUAUUCAGAUGGCAACGAUCUACUUUUUCUUGUAAUUUCUUGUUACCGAACAUUUGUCUACGGAAAGAGAAAGAGAGAGAGAGAGAGAAAGAGAAAGAGAGAGAGAGUGAGUGAUCGUCUAGGCGGGGGCGUUGAAUUGGCAAUCAGUCGGCAGGCGACAUAGACGAACUCGAUUACGGUUCCACGAGGCGAGUUGCGCGGGUAACUCGAGCUAACUGGCAUGAUACGAGAGCUCGAGACUAACUGUCAACUAUGGACAAUCUAGCCAUCAGCCUUAAACAGAAUAUAUUUACGGUAAACGUACGCCAGCACACGUGUAUCCAACUCCUCUCAGAGUGACGUCAACAUCCGUUUCCUCGUUGUCGUUUAGCACAUCAUACAAAAUAUGUGUAUCAAGAUGUUUCUAAGUAGAAGAGACUGGAAUUUAUGCGCGUGUAAGCAGAAAUAUUUUGUACUUUUGUUACUGCAGUAUAGUGGUCAGCUACUGGUAAUUGAAAGUUAUAUGUUAUAUGUUAAUUAACUAUGGAAUAGAGAAUGAAAAUAAAGAAUGUUUAUUAUA